rnacentral:lncRNA from 7 species
CAGUUCCCCCCCACCCCCGCCCUGUGCUCGGAGCUCAUCUCCCCGCUGCCGAUCAGCACAUUCAGUGCUUAAAAGGAAACGAGUCCGCUGUGCUGAUGGGAGAGCCCGGGAGGCGCCGUGCGACCCUGCUUGGCAGCUCCGGGAAGGGCACCGUGUCAGAGCUCCCCGUGCACAAUGCACAGCGCAGCGUGUACAAUGCACGAUGCAGGACGCAGGGAGAGCGGAGUGCCAUCUCUGUUGGGGACGGCCCCGUUUCCGUGGCAACCGAGAGGCUCCGGCGGCGGCCGCGUGGCCCCGGCAGAGGGCACUGCGCGUUGUGCAGUGGAGGAGCCCAGCCCCGUGCCGGGCAGCACUCCAUGUUCCCGGCCUGCUGCGGCGCUCAGAGCACUGGCACAGCGCUCUGCUGGAGUUACUCAUCGCUCCCAUCAGCAGCCCUCACCCAGCGCCCAUCUGCGGCUGCAGGACAGCGCCGUUCAUCAGCGGCGUGAGUCGGGGCUGGAGUGUGUGCAGCGGGGCCUCAGCUGUGUGCCCAUCGCCGUGCAUCCCUCGCCGUGCUGCGUGUGCUGCAGGAUGGGGCUGCACACGAGCGUGCAAAGUGCUGGGUGCGUGGAAAUGGCUGGAAAAGUGCUCCCUACUCCUGCUUCAAUCAGAGGAACGGAGCAGCUGUUGGAGUGAAUGGGCCCUGCACUAAAGCAGACGUCUUAAUAUCUUUUGCAGAGGAGGUGCAUUGUGAUUCACUCUGUGCAUCUCUAUUACUCAGCGUUUGAUAGGGGCUUACUUGUCUCAAGUGCUUUUCAUUAUUGCCCUAAUGCUAUCUAUUAACAUAUGGGAUGGAGGCUCUUUUCUCAUCUGGAGCGUGCAUCACUCCGCUUUUAAGGAUGAUGGGGCUUGCAAGUACAUAACACUUUGCUGCCUCCCUGACGGAGCUCACCAGGAGGGAGGGGGUGCGUGGGGUUGGACGGCCGCAGGGCUGCGAGGACACAGUGGUGUGAGCAGAGCCACAGCCAUGCACUGCUCCACUGCCACAGCCCUGCACGGCAGCCGGGUCAGUUAGCUGCUUUAACUGCCCAGGGGGUGUUUGCAGGUGCAGGCUCUGUGGGCAGACUUUGCGGGGGAAGAUUACAGGUGUGGUUUUCUGGGUGGGUGCUGUGUGAUGGGCAGAGCUGUGCUGGGGCGGUCCCACGCGCUGCUCUUACUCUGCACAUGGCUGCAACUCAGAGCUGAACCUUCUGCUGGACAGGAGCAGAAGGAGCUGCAGCCUGGUGAGAGAGCACAUCUCUUCCCUCGGCUCAGGAUGAGUUCUGCCUUGCAUUUUGGUGAGCUAUGGCAAGAAACGCAAUAGCACAGGAGCAAAAAUCACUGCACCUCAGGCUCAGAGCGGUUGGAAGGGACCUGUGGGGCUCCCCCAGCCCGGCCCCAUCCUGCAGGGCCCGCAUGUCCCAGCAGCCAGGUUGGGAUGGGGGGAUUCAGAGCACCUGGAAACCCCAGCGUGGCACAGUUGUUCAGCAGCCGCCUCCGAGCAGCUUGAUGGAUGGCGGGCCGGUCCCACCCGCAGCCAGAUGACAGCUCCUCGCAUCAGCCGCUGUGAUAAAUAGCAAUUACAGACAGGAGCACUGCCACUCACAUUUGCCUAAGUGAGGAGCGGAAUCAUACAUCUCCGCUGAUUACAUAUCAAUGAUGCGCUGGAGGCCUUCGCAACUUUUAGAUCCGCUUAAGAUAUGCCGCCCUGAUUUAGACGGCGAUUUGCAUACAAUUUACCCAUAAAGCCUUACUUUG